rnacentral:rRNA from 1 species
CAGCAGCCACGGUAAUACAGAGGGUGCGAGCGUUAAUCGGAUUUACUGGGCGUAAAGCGUGCGUAGGCGGCUAAUUGAGUCGGAUGUGAAAUCCCCGAGCUUAACUUGGGAAUUGCAUUCGAUACUGGUUAGCUAGAGUGUGGGAGAGGAUGGUAGAAUUCCAGGUGUAGCGGUGAAAUGCGUAGAGAUCUGGAGGAAUACCGAUGGCGAAGGCAGCCAUCUGGCCUAACACUGACGCUGAGGUACGAAAGCAUGGGGAGCAAACAGGAUUAGAUACCCGUGUAGUCCCUGUCUCUUAUAA